AUUAUUAUUAUUACAGAAGCAAAGUAGUGCAGAAUAAACCCAAGCCUGAACAAAAUGAUGUAGGAUUUUCUUUCACAAGGAAGGCAAAGGUUGAGGCAGCCCCAGCAGGAGCUCCAGCAAGAGCUCCAGUCAGACCCAAAGGAUCUUGGAGUAAUGCAGUUGCUUCCUCUUCUCCAAGAGCACCUACCUUGGCAGCCUCCUUCUCUGCUUCAAGUGUAGACACCUCGUGUGAAGAUGACUUCCCUGCUUUGGGAGCAAGGAAUGGAUUUUCAGGCAAUAGUUGGAAUGCCCCAUCUAAUAAGAGAGGCCAGAAGAAGAAAUGAUAUAAAGGGUAUUUUAGCUGAUAAUUUUUAGUGGUGAUAAGGUAUGCAUUUCCCUAAGUUCAUCAAGAGGAAAAUUAUGUGAUCUUUUUCCUCCAUUUUUAGUUAUGGAAGCUUUAUUUUGUGUAUUGGUGAAGAUUCAUUUUGUUGUAUUGCCUUUUACUGUUGGUAAAAGCCGUUUCGUCUCCCAAGAAAAGAAAAUCAAUUUUUUUUUUCAAUGCUAUUUUCUUUCAUUUUGAUAUUGCUUUAGUGCUGUUUAAUUUAACUUGUUUUCAAAUGUAAGUAUUGUAUAAGUUCUACUCCCAAUAUAUUUUUUUUUGUUUUUUUAAUGCACUUUUGCAAACAUGCAGAAAGUUGAGUGGUGUUCAGUGCUUAGAAAUUUAGACAAUGGUUUGUUAAGAUUAAUUAUGAUUGACUUUAAAUUAAUAAUCUUUUAGUAAGAUAAUCAUGGGUUACAAGAAUGAGUCUUGUUUUUAAAAUGUAUUGUUUAGCUCAUUUAUAUUACUGAACUGUUACUUUCUGGCAAGAAAAAGUCUGAUGCCAUUAUAAAUGUGCCAACUAUUUUUAAUGUAAAAAAUAAAGUUCCAUUUCAA